UNGAAGGGCCUUGGUGGUGUGUUAGG
rnacentral:piRNA from 1 species